rnacentral:misc_RNA from 1 species
UUUCCGUAGGUGAACCUGCGGAAGGAUCAUUAACGAAUCAAACAAGUUCAUCUUGUUCUGAUCCUGUGCACCUUAUGUAGUCCCAAAGCCUUCACGGGCGGCGGUUGACUACGUCUACCUCACACCUUAAAGUAUGUUAACGAAUGUAAUCAUGGUCUUGACAGACCCUAAAAAGUUAAUACAACUUUCGACAACGGAUCUCUUGGCUCUC